rnacentral:rRNA from 1 species
ACUCCUACGGGAGGCAGCAGCUAAGAAUCUUCCGCAAUGACGCAAGUCUGACGGAGCGACGCCGCGUGUGCGAAGAAUGUCGAGAGAUUGUAAAAGCACUUUUAUAUGUGAGGAAUAAGCGUGUCAGGAAAUGGGCAUGUGAUGACGUUAGCAUAUGAAUAAGCUCCGGCCAAUUACGUGCCAGCAGCCGCGGUAACACGUAAGGAGCGAGCGUUGUUCGGAAUUAUUGGGGCGUAAAGGGCAUGUAGGCGGUUCUGUAAGUCUGAUGUGAAAGCACGCAGCUUAACUGCGAUGUUGCGUUGAAACUGCAGGACUUGAAUCCGAGAGGGGUGUGUGGAAUUCCUAGUGUAGGGGUG